UACAGAGGUCCCAAGCGUUGUUCGGAUUCAUUGGGCGUAAAGGGUGCGUAGGCGGCGCGGUAAGUCGGGCGUGAAAUCCCUCGGCCCAACCGAGGAACUGCGCCCGAGACUGCUUCUCUUGAGUCCCGGAGAGGAAGAUGGAAUUCCCGGUGUAGCGGUGAAAUGUGUAGAGAUCGGGAGGAACACCGGUGGCGAAGGCGGUCUUCUGGACGGUGACUGACGCUGAGGCGCGAAAGCGUGGGGAGCAAACGGG
rnacentral:rRNA from 1 species